rnacentral:rRNA from 1 species
GUAGGCCUACGGGGCGCAGCAGUGGGGAAUAUUGCACAAUGGGGGAAACCCUGAUGCAGCGACGCCGCGUGAAGGAAGAAGUAUUUCGGUAUGUAAAGUUCUAUCAGCAGGGAAGAAAAUGACGGUACCUGACUAAGAAGCCCCGGCUAACUACGUGCCAGCAGCCGCGGUAAUACGUAGGGGGCAAGCGUUAUCCGGAUUUACUGGGUGUAAAGGGAGCGUAGGCGGUUUAGCAAGUCAGAAGUGCAAGCCCGGGGCUCAACUCCGGGACUGCUUUUGAAACUGUUGCACUAGAUUGCAGACGA